rnacentral:rRNA from 1 species
AGACCCGAAACCCGGUGAUCUAGCCAUGGGCAGGUUGAAGGUUGGGUAACACUAACUGGAGGACCGAACCGACUAAUGUUGAAAAAUUAGCGGAUGACCUGUGGCUGGGGGUGAAAGGCCAAUCAAACCGGGAGAUAGCUGGUUCUCCCCGAAAGCUAUUUAGGUAGCGCCUCGUGAAUUCAUCUCCGGGGGUAGAGCACUGUUUCGGCUAGGGGGCCAUCCCGGCUUACCAACCCGAUGCAAACUGCGAAUACCGGAGAAUGUUAUCACGGGAGACACACGGCGGGUGCUAACGUCCGUCGUGAAGAGGGAAACAACCCAGACCGCCAGCUAAGGUCCCAAAGUCAUGGUUAAGUGGGAAACGAUGUGGGAAGGCCCAGACAGCCAGGAUGUUGGCUUAGAAGCAGCCAUCAUUUAAAGAAAGCGUAAUAGCUCACUGGUCGAGUCGGCCUGCGCGGAAGAUGUAACGGGGCUAAACCAUGCACCGAAGCUGCGGCAGCGAACGUAUCACCCAAGACAACUUUACGGAGUUGGCGAUUGACGGAGCGAAGCGACGUCAAAGCGUUCAUUAAAGUCGAGUUGGCUUAGGGAUACGUUCGUUGGGUAGGGGAGCGUUCUGUAAGCCUGUGAAGGUGUGUCGUGAGGCAUGCUGGAGGUAUCAGA